rnacentral:tRNA from 1 species
ACCUGGGUGGCUCAGUCGGUUAAGCACCUGACUUAGGCUCAGGUCAUUAUAUUACAGUUGUGGGUUCGAGCCCCACGUUGGGCU